CCCUUAGAUGUCCUGGGCCGCACGCGCGUUACACUGAUGCAUUCAACGAGUUUCACCUUGGCCGAGAGGCCUGGGCAAUCUUUUAAACCUGCAUCGUGAUAGGGAUAGAUUAUUGCAAUUAUUAAUCUUGAACGAGGAAUUCCUAGUAAACGCAAAUCAUCAAUUUGCAUUGAUUACGUCCCUGCCCUUUGUACACACCGCCCGUCGCACCUACCGAUUGAAUGGUCCGGUGAAGCCUCGGGAUUGUGGCCAGUUCACUUUAUUGGGAGUUGGCUGUGAGAACUUGUCUAAACCUUAUCAUUUAGAGGAAGGUGAAGUCGUAACA
rnacentral:rRNA from 1 species